UCUGCACCAUUGUCCUCGGGUCAGGGCUGAGUCGUGGAGAGCGGGCAACGUGGAAAUGCCCUGGACUCAGGAGCACAGCCCGCCCCAGUGCUCCUCGGCGGCGCCCGGAGGUCGGGCUGAUGUGGUCACACUCUGGUAGGAGGAGGGGUGGUGCUGGGAAUUAGCAAGAAGGGACUGGGCCAGGAGCAUGUUGGUUUACUCAUUGUCCGUUCUUUCAACUGUAUUCAGUGCGGGAUCCUGUGCUCGGUAGUGUGGAAGUUCGGCCAGAAAUCGAGUCCCAUCUUUCGAGACAAGGUCACAAGCGUAUAACAUAAUUCAGUGUUAGGUGGGGUGAGGUCGCCAUGUGAUAAAGGAGGACAGGGCUGGAAUAAUUGGCCACGGAGAGCUUCGUGUGGGAUGCAGGAGGCAAAGUGGGUCUUCGGAAGAGGUGGAAUUUCAUCGGGAGGCUGGAGAAGGGACGUUCUGGAAAGUGGGGGCGUGAGCUGUGGAGGGACUCAAGGCACCAUCCCCCAAAUGAGAAUUUGGGAAAAGACUUUUCGAAGUAAAACCUUUAAUACCAAACCUAAGAAUCUGAGCUCGCCCUAACACUCGGAGAACUACUGAGAGUUCCUGACAAACGGAGAUUAGCGAUGUAAGCGGCAUUCUGAAUAAUCAGUUGAUCAUUAAUUUGGCCUUGGGUUAAAAGUAGAGGGAGGUCAUCAGAGGACUGUUGAAUAGAAAAAAAAAGCGUAGAGAUGGGGAAGGAAAAGUGGACGUUGAGAAGAAAUGAAUCUAAGAGGCAUUACAAUGAAAGCAGGAAUAAGACCCGAUUAUAAAUUUGAUAAGCGGGGAGAAGGGAGGGAGAAAAUAAGUAAAAUUGGGUGCAAGGUUUUGAGCCCGGGGCAUUGCAAAACCAGUGCUGCCUUUGAAGUCGGGGGAGAGAAGCUGAGACUGUGGGAGUUGGAUAGUGUUUAACCUCAGACCUGUUAACCUGGAGGAGUGAACAGGGCAUCCCUAUUGCCUGUCACCAGCUAAAAUUAAGGACCUGGGACCCAAUUCGGAAUAAUCUCCCAAUAAACAGCAAAUUUUAUGCAAUAUUUAGAGAGUGUGAGUCCUGAGUCAGUAGAAAACGUGAAGAAAAAAACAAAUGAAACACACCCUCUGAACAUAAAGUCUUUGAUCUCCUCAUGACACCUUUUCUUUUUCUUUUACAUUCAUUAGCCAUCAGAGAUAACAUUUAUCAAGUUUCUACAGGUUUUAAUUCGUUUUGCAAUCACAUAACCCCAGGAAACAGAGACCAUCCCCACUUUACAGAAGAGGGGCUUGGAGACCCAGAGAGGUUUAAAUCACUUUGCUAAGGUCACACAGCUGGAAGUCUGCAGUGGACCCAAGGUGGUCGAACUCCAGGACCGCCUUGACCACUACAUUAAGUGGCUCCGUAUGGCUACAUUUUUUUCCCCACGUUGUUAAAGAGUGACUAAUGCUGCCUGCCAUCUGUUACCAAGUCCGGUGGCUUUUCCUUCAGCUCCCUCCCGGAAUUGCAGCGCUCGAACGCCCAUCCCCCCGCCAGAAGCACUUCCUGGCUCAAGCUAUGGCACCCACAGCUGCCACUGAGGCACCAACCAUCUCUGGGCUUCUGGGCUCCAGCACUGCAGGUUCCAACGGCGGAGAAUUCCGUAUGGAGGCUCUUCUUUGUCCUCUGUGCUCACCUGCACACUGCGUGGCCAUAGCUCCCAGCGUGCUCCGCCUCAGACCUCUCCUCCUUCAAAACCCCCAUCCCACCUUCUGUCUCACAUCAGAGCCGACUCUGAAGCCGUUGCCUGUGCCUGGAAUGCUCUCACCCCUCUCACGAAUUCUCUCCCUUUUUGGUACUCAGACAGCUUCUGAAACUCCUAUUGGUCCGUGGAAUUUUUCUCUGCUGAUACAGGAGCAAGAGCUGUUCUCCACUUUGCCGAUUCAGAGUAGCUCCUGGAGUCCAGCCUGGCUGAGGCUUGGGGUCCACCACUUACUAGCCCUAUAAACUUGGGCAGGUUUCUAAGUCUCAAUACCUCCUCAUUGGCAUGGGAUAUUCAUACCUGCAGUCAAAGGAUUGUUAUGAGAUUUAAAUAACGUAAUCCAUGAAACGCUCCUAGCACAGAGCUGGCACAAAGUGGCGGGCCUGGGAGCUGGGUGCACACUCUCACAAGUGAACUUCAGGUCUUUUUCAAGAGGUGGAAUCGAUAAAGAGAAAAAGAAGAAGGAAAUGUGGUAGCCAUGAAAAUGUGCCUCUUAGGCCGGAUCCAGUGAGCAUAGUUGACAUACAGCCCCUGCUGCUGGCCCUCUGCACCCACCACCACAUCACGCCGAGGCCUCACUUUCCUGAGCCCAGAGAGCCACUGCACAGGUCCGUUCCUGCAGCAUGCAGGCUCCUCCAUCAGGCAUUAGGUCUGAUGGCUCACCCUCCCUGCUCCUGCUCCCUCCCUUUAUCCUUCACAGGUCCAAGAAAAUGGAUGAGGUUUUGGGACUGACUCCCUCACUGCCCAAGAGGCAAAGAGGAUCGUCACAUCUGUACCACUUACAAAGUAUGUGAUCACAUAGGUGAUGUCGUCUAAUUAUCACAGCAGCCCUGUGGGGCACAAAGGUAGGAGAAUAAAGAAAAUUUAAACCUAGAUGAUGGAAACGGAUAAGAGAAGGACAUUUCAAUGCUCUCUUCAUUCUAAUCCUGAGAAGAAAUAUAUAGCAGUUCGACCCACGUCCUACUAAUGGCUGAGUGGCCCAGUGGGAAAAGACCCGGCCUAGAAACCAUAUGUGCCAAUGAACUCACAAACCAACGGGUGCUUUGAAGUGAAUGGUUUUGUUAAAAGUAUCCUCCAUAUUUCCCUAGUUAGGGACUUCUGGGAAGCCCCUCUUAAUUCCUGUGUCUACUGUCUGGGAUGCAGGUGUGUUAACUGGAGCUCAGCAGUCUACCUGAACCAUGGGGCACACCGAGGGAGGAUGCUGCAGUGAGUUGCAAGGGUCCCCAAUGGCUGCGUGGAGCCACCCCCUUGCCUGAACUGCUGCCCUCCAGACUUCCACCCUGUGAGAGAGGAAUCAUGCUGAAGGGUAAAGCACGACACCUUCAGGGCACCCAUUCCAGAAAGAGAGACCCUCUCUACAGAGUAUGAGAACCCCAACCCCUCACGUAGCUGAUGGCACAAGGUUCCCCUUCAGGACACAUUCUGCUUCUCUGCUUUCCCGGUGCCUGCAGGUUGAAUCUGGACUUUGCUCGGACAGGUUCCGGUCCAGAUGAGGACAUGGCAGCCUCUGGGGAGAGCAGCAUCUACGCCUACUCCUUGACUGAUAGACUAAUGCAGGUGCCUGCCUGGAGGCGUGCUUCUCAAUCUACCCAUGGGGAAGGACCAGCUUUCAAAGGUCCAACCUGUCGUGGGCUGAUACUUUAGUAAAAUACAAUUAAAAUGAAAUUUUAAAAAAGACAUGAAUCUCAUAUUUUUAAUUAUUAGAUUGAACAGACAUAAAAUAACUCUGUCAAAUGGCUAUAAAAUUUCUCAUCACAGUUGCUCUCAGGUUCUGUACUUGCCUCAUUGAGGACUGGUAACAAUCCACAGACCAGCACUGGUCUGUUGACCACACUUUGGGUAGUAUGGACCUUUUAACCUAUACCCAAAAGGAAUAUUAUAUGCGUGGCAUGUAUAUUUAUAAAAAUGUUUAGAUAGAUUAAGUAACUCUGUAUUAGAAAAUUUUUA